rnacentral:rRNA from 1 species
CACGUAGGGGCGAGCGUUGUCCGGAAUCAUUGGGCGUAAAGAGCGUGUAGGCGGUCCGGUAAGUCCGCUGUGAAAGUCGGGGGCUCAACCCUCGAAUGCCGGUGGAUACUGUCGGGCUAGAGUGCGGAAGAGGCGAGUGGAAUUCCUGGUGUAGCGGUGAAAUGCGCAGAUAUCAGGAGGAACACCAAUUGCGAAGGCAGCUCGCUGGGACGUUACUGACGCUGGAGACGCGAAAGCGUGGGGAGCAAACAGG